AGCAUAUCAAUAAGCGGAGGAAAAGAAACCAACAGGGAUUGCCUUAGUAACGGCGAGUGAAGCGGCAAUAGCUCAAAUUUGAAAGCUGGCCCCUUCGGGGUCCGCGUUGUAAUUUGUAGAGGAUGAUUCGGCGAGGGCUCCCGUCUAAGUCCCUUGGAACAGGGCGUCAUAGAGGGUGAGAAUCCCGUAUGUGAUGGGCUGCCUUAGCCAUGUGAAUCUCCUUCGACGAGUCGAGUUGUUUGGGAAUGCAGCUCUAAAUGGGAGGUAAAUUUCUUCUAAAGCUAAAUACCGGCCAGAGACCGAUAGCGCACAAGUAGAGUGAUCGAAAGAUGAAAAGCACUUUGGAAAGAGAGUUAAAAAGUACGUGAAAUUGUUGAAAGGGAAGCGCUUGCAGCCAGACUUGUCCGCAGUUGCUCAGCUUGUCUCCUGACAGGCGUACUCUUCUGCGGCCAGGCCAGCAUCAGUUCGGGCGGUCGGAUAAAGACCUGGGGAAUGUAGCUCCUCUCGGGGAGUGUUAUAGCCCUGGGUGCAAUGCGGCCAGCCUGGACUGAGGAUCUCGCUUCGGCUAGGAUGCUGGCGUAAUGGCUGUAAGCGGCCCGUCUUGAAACACGGACCAAGGAGUCUAACAUCUAUGCGAGUGUUUGGGUGUCAAACCCAUGCGCGUAAUGAAAGUGAACGGAGGUGGGAACCCUCACGGGUGCACCAUCGACCGAUCCUGAUGUCUUCGGAUGGAUUUGAGUAAGAGCAUAGCUGUUGGGACCCGAAAGAUGGUGAACUAUGCCUGAAUAGGGUGAAGCCAGAGGAAACUCUGGUGGAGGCUCGCAGCGGUUCUGACGUGCAAAUCGAUCGUCAAAUUUGGGUAUAGGGGCGAAAGACUAAUCGAACCAUC
rnacentral:rRNA from 3 species